UGGUGCAAAAGUAAUUGCGGUUUUUGCCAUGAAAAGAAAUGGCAAAACCCCAAUUACUUUUGCA
rnacentral:miRNA from 1 species